rnacentral:rRNA from 1 species
AACGAACGCUGGCGGCAUGCCUAACACACGCAAGUCGAACGAGACCUUCGGGUCUAGUGGCGCACGGGUGCGUAACGCGUGGGAAUCUGCCCUUGGGUUCGGAAUAACAGUUGGAAACGACUGCUAAUACCGGAUGAUGACGUAAGUCCAAAGAUUUAUCGCCCAAGGAUGAGCCCGCGUAGGAUUAGCUAGUUGGUGAGGUAAAGGCUCACCAAGGCGACGAUCCUUAGCUGGUCUGAGAGGAUGAUCAGCCACACUGGGACUGAGACACGGCCCAGACUCCUACGGGAGGCAGCAGUGGGGAAUAUUGGACAAUGGGCGAAAGCCUGAUCCAGCAAUGCCGCGUGAGUGAUGAAGGCCUUAGGGUUGUAAAGCUCUUUUACCCGGGAUGAUAAUGACAGUACCGUGAGAAUAAGCUCCGGCUAACUCCGUG